rnacentral:rRNA from 1 species
UAAUACGGAGGGUCCGAGCGUUAUCCGGAAUUAUUGGGUUUAAAGGGUCCGUAGGCGGGCGAUUAAGUCAGUGGUGAAAGUCUGCAGCUCAACUGUAGAAUUGCCUUUGAUACUGGUCGUCUUGAGUUAUGGUGAAGUUGCUGGAAUAUGUAGUGUAGCGGUGAAAUGCAUAGAUAUUACAUAGAACACCGAUUGCGAAGGCAGGUGACUAACCAUAUACUGACGCUGAUGGACGAAAGCGUGGGGAGCGAACAGGAUUAGAUACCCUGGUAGUCCACGCCGUAAACGAUGGAUACUAGCUGUCCGGGACAGUAAGUUCUGGGCGGCCAAGCGAAAGUGAUAAGUAUCCCACCUGGGGAGUACGUUCGCAAGAAUG